rnacentral:lncRNA from 1 species
CGCAAUUAAAUUAUUAUCAAAUAAUCAAAUAAUGUGCAAUAUAAAUAAAUGGCAAUUUAUGUUGGGAAAUAUGUACCAACCUUUUUUUUUUAUGACAUGAUUUUCAAAGGAGUGACACUAUUAUCAUAAGGUCCCAAUAUAAUAUCCAAGCAGAUGAUGAAUUAGCUCCAGCUAUCUAUAUUUUCUAUAUCAACUAUAGCAACUACCAACAUAUAUGUCCUUUACUGCCAUUCAUAGC